UUAAAUAUUCCUCACCGGCUGAGCACCUAUAAAUUGAUAUGAACCCGAAAUAAGCCGCCCUUGUUGGUCAAAAUUUAUUUUAUGCUAAUACAAAUUGUAAAAUAUCCCAAAGUCAGCUGAGCAGCAGAAAGCAUGUUUCACUUAUGAAAUGAAAGGCCGCUCAGUAAAUAACACAUCAUUUUUGAAGAUAGCCGUAAAGUGAAGAAAAUCCUUUGGCCGUCCCCUGGUCUUUCUCAGAAAAGGGAUAGUCCUGCGAAGGAUUUUAUGCCGUUGAAAAGGAUUGCCACGGAACGGUACGGAACCAAGGAUGCCCACAUCCUUAAGCAGCUUGGCAAGUGUGCCAGUGUAUGAAAUAUUCACACAUAAUGUUGCAAAAUUUAUACUCCUGUCAGCCUUUGUAAUGUCAGCCUCAGCUGCGGUUCGCAUAUUGAUAGUCAAUAUUGGAUAUUUAUUUGUUGUUGUUUGAAAAGAUGCCGAACACGGCAGAAUAUAUUUUAAUGCGUUUCAUUUUAGCGUGGAGUGAGGAAA